rnacentral:tRNA from 1 species
GGAUAGGUAAGCUAAGUCAAAGCUCUUGGGUUCAUGCCCCACUUAUAGGUUCCACCUCCUCUCUA